CAAACAAAACUUGGUUCCCUGGUGCCCCUGGAUUAGCUACAAAUUUCCUGGCACUUGAUUCAGUUUAAUUUACUCUAGGCCCACCUUGGUGAGCACAGGAUUCCUCCACCUGCAGAGUCGGCCCUGCCCCCUCCUCCACCCGGACCCACAGCCACCGCCCCUCGCAGCUACACACUCCACAGCCAUCGUCAAACAUAAUGAUUCUUUCUCUGGAGAGAACUUGGGUUCCAUUUUAUAUUUUGUUGCCUCAAAAAGGACAUUUUUUACCUUCCCACAGUUCACAGCCAGCAGGAACAGGAUGAUAAAUCUCAGCAAAGGUUUCCACUGAGAUGGAUGUUCCAGCAAGGAGACCGCUGUGUUCCAGGCAGGGGAGGAUAAAUAAGCAGUUGUACCUGCUUGGCCACCCCUCACUACCUUGUUCCCAACGCCAUGUCAUCCUGCCUCUGCUCCAAGAGGGAAGGCUGAGGGCUCCCCGCCGUCUUUGCCACCGUGUUCAAGGCACAUGCUUUAUCCUGCUUAGUUUUCAGCGGCCCUAUGGCAUGGGUGUGUGCAUUAGCCCCAUUUUACAGAUGCAGGGACUGAGAUUCAUGGAGGUUAGGCCUGCAGCUGGUCGAGGGCAAGCUGAGUGUGAACGGGGAUUCCCAGUUGUUAGGGGGUAAAUUGUGUCCCUCCUGUGUUCAAGUCCUGACACUCCUCCCUCCGUCUCCACCCCACGAAUGUGGCCUUAUUUGGAAAUAGCGUCCUUGAAACUGAUUAGUUACGAUGAAGCCAUUGGCAGGGGGUGGGGUGGGCUGAGCCAAUAGGCCUGGUGUCCUUAGAAGGGCAGAGGGCACACAGGGACAGGAGGGGAAAGGCCAGAAGCUGAAGUGCAGCCACCAUGAGUCCAGGAACACCGGGAUGGCCGGAAGAGGCCACAGGAGCCCGGCCCUGCCAACAGCUUGAUUGUGGACUCCUGGCCUCAAGAACGAUUAGUUCCACGGGUGGAUCAUCUUGCCAUCUCAUCCGUCGUGGGCUUCUCUUGCUUGCACUGGUUCCACCUCCUGAACUUCCACAGAAGGAACCACCUGCUCCCCUGGCCCAAAGCUGGCUAAGCUGGUGGGGAGGGGGCCCCAGAAGGCCACUGUGGGCUCCCCCUCUGCUCCACUGAGCCCACGGCUUCCUCUGGCAGAAGAAGAGGCUGUCUCGGCCAAGCUGAUCGUUCUUGGCUCUUCCCCUGCCUGCCAGAUGCCCGGGGAAGCUCUCAAGAGCCACUUAGCAGCCACCAUCCUCAGGGAGGUUCUAAGAGCAGUUUCGGUGGAUGGACGGAUGGAUUGAAGCAUAUCCUGCCUCACUCUAAACAAUAACUGAUGAGAUUUACAGAAAUAUUCAGAGCCCAAUGGAAUAAAAACAGGUGGUGCCUGUCAGCCUGUAGCUCCAGACUGGUGUAAGGAGGUGUGGCCCAUGGCUGUUUUCCCCCAGGCUCUGGGGUCUGGUUCUGAAAGGAAGGUGAGUAGUAGAACUUGGCACCACCUUUUUCCUCUUAUGGAAAAUACACCACCUAGGGUGAGGUCAUUUACAUUUGAAUAGACUCUGCCUGUACUAUCUCCACCCUUGUCUGGUCAGAGCUCAGGGAACUGAAAAUGGUGGAGUCUUUCUCCACUGAGCUGAAAAAGGGACAAGCCCC